UACGUAGGGGGCAAGCGUUGUCCGGAAUCAUUGGGCGUAAAGAGCGCGUAGGCGGUCCGGUAAGUCCGCUCUGAAAGUCCGGGGCUCAACCCCGGGAGGCGGGCGGAUACUGUCGGGCUAGAGUCCGGAAGAGGCGAGUGGAAUUCCUGGUGUAGCGGUGAAAUGCGCAGAUAUCAGGAGGAACACCGGUGGCGAAGGCGGCCCCC
rnacentral:rRNA from 1 species